rnacentral:rRNA from 1 species
CUUUCUGCGAACUCGGCCCCCGGCUGAUGUUUGCGGAAGGUCGCCACUUCCGAAGGCAGGCAGGGAUCUCCUCGGGGAUGGUGAACAGUCAGCUUGGAACUGUUACAAACUCGGGGAAUUCACCUGUUUAAUUGAAACAAAGCUUUGUGAUGGGUCACAGUGGCUUGUGACACGAAGGGAUUUCUGCCCAGUGCUCUGAUUGUCAAUGCAAAGAGACUUAACCAAGCGCGGGUAAAUGGCGGGAGUAACUAUGACUCUCUUAAGGUAGCCAAAUGCCUCGUCUUCUAACCAAAGACGCGCAUGAAUGGAUCAAUGAGAUUCCCACUGUCCCUAGCUACCGUCCAGCGAAACAGCAGUCAGGGGAACGGACCUGAGCGACACAGCGGGGAAAGAAGACCCUGUUGAGUUUGACUCUAGCCAAGUCUUGUGCGGCGACAUAGGAGGUGUAGUACAGGUGGGAGACUCUGUCGUCAAUGAAAUACCACUACUCUUAUCGUCGCGGUGCUAACAACAUGAUGGGGUGCCGGGUGGCGCCGAUUCUUUCGGUAUUUGAACCGUUUCUGGUUCUGUGCCUUAACCGUUUCGAGCGAUAAGUGCAGCCUAGCUGCAUGAACCCUCGUUGUUGGACAGAAGCUUGGUGGGGAGUUUGGCUGGGGCGGCACGCCUCUUAAACGAUAACGGAGGUGUCCUAAGCGGUGCUCAGUGUGAACAGAAAUCACACGUGGAGCAUAAGGGCAAAAGCCCCGUUGACUUCUCGAUUGUCAGUACUAAUCCAAGCCGUGAAAGCGGGGCCUAGCGAUCCUUUGGUCCCGUUAUGUUCAAGUCAUUGAAGCCAGAGGUGACAGAAAAACUACCACAGGGAUAACUGGCUUGUGGCCGCCAAGCGUUCAUAGCGACGUGGCUUUUUGAUCCUUCGAUGUCGGCUCUUCCUAUCCUAGACAAGCAGAAUUGUCUAAGGGUCGGAUUGUUCACCCGUACAAGGGAACGUGAGCUGGGUUUAGACCGUCGUGAGACAGGUUGGUUUUACCCUACUGUGUCUGGUGUGAACCUGAAAACACGGUUUGUUUGAUGGAAAGGCCCGACGAGGGCAACUUGAGGUAGUACGAGAGGAACUCUCAAGUCUCGGCUCUGGCAUCUGUAGUCAGUCGAGAGGCUGGUGCUACGAAGCUACCCCGAGCUGGAUUAUGGCUGAACGCCUCUAAGCCAGAAUCCAAACCCAAAGUCGGGCUUCUUGGCCGCCGUGCCAGGUCGUCUCGUGCAACAGUUUCUAUCGUAAGGGAACACAGCUACACCUUCGGGUGGUAUUGUCUGUUGGUGGGAUCCUCGGCUUGAGGAGGAAGACCCUCUAGCCGACUCCUUACCCAAGUCCACAGCCAGAGAGUACGAGAGACUCAGUCUGGUGUCUACGACUCCAUGUGCAGUGGCGAGUGUACACAUUCGAGGAGACGUGUUUCUCCGAGAUGUUGAGCUUAAUGGCCUCU